rnacentral:rRNA from 1 species
UGGGGAAUAUUGGACAAUGGGCGAAAGCCUGAUCCAGCCAUGCCGCGUGUGUGAAGAAGGUCUUCGGAUUGUAAAGCACUUUAAGUUGGGAGGAAGGGUUGUAGAUUAAUACUCUGCAAUUUUGACGUUACCGACAGAAUAAGCACCGGCUAACUCUGUGCCAGCAGCCGCGGUAAUACAGAGGGUGCAAGCGUUAAUCGGAAUUACUGGGCGUAAAGCGCGCGUAGGUGGUUAGUUAAGUUGGAUGUGAAAUCCCCGGGCUCAACCUGGUAACUGCAUUCAAAACUGACUGACUAGAGUAUGGUAGAGGGUGGUGGAAUUUCCUGUGUAGCGGUGAAAUGCGUAGAUAUAGGAAGGAACACCAGUGGCGAAGGCGACCACCUGGACUGAUACUGACACUGAGGUGCGAAAGCGUGGGGAGCAAACA